UGAUCCUGGCUCAGAUUGAACGCUGGCGGCAGGCCUAACACAUGCAAGUCGAGCGGUAGCGGGAAGAGCUUGCUCUUUGCCGACGAGCGGCGGACGGGUGCGUAACACGUAGGAAUCUGCCCGGUAGUGGGGGAUAGCCCGGAGAAAUCCGGAUUAAUACCGCAUACGCCCUAAGGGGGAAAGCAGGGGAUCUUCGGACCUUGCGCUAUCGGAUGAGCCUGCGUCGGAUUAGCUUGUUGGUGGGGUAAAGGCCUACCAAGGCGACGAUCCGUAGCUGGUCUGAGAGGAUGAUCAGCCACACUGGGACUGAGACACGGCCCAGACUCCUACGGGAGGCAGCAGAA
rnacentral:rRNA from 1 species